GACGAACGCUGGCGGCGUGCUUAACACAUGCAAGUCGAACGGAAAGGCCCUGCUUUUGUGGGGUGCUCGAGUGGCGAACGGGUGAGUAACACGUGAGUAACCUGCCCUUUACUUUGGGAUAACUUCAGGAAACUGGGGCUAAUACCGGAUAGGAGCUCCUGCUGCAUGGUGGGGGUUGGAAAGUUUCGGUGGUUGGGGAUGGUCUCGCGGCUUAUCAGCUUGUUGGUGGGGUAGUGGCUUACCAAGGCUUCGACGGGUAGCCGGCCUGAGAGGGUGACCGGCCACAUUGGGACUGAGAUACGGCCCAGACUCCAACGGGAGGCAGCAGUGGGGAAUAUUGCACAAUGGGCGGAAGCCGGAUGCAGCAGCGCCGCGUGCGGGAUGACGGCCUUCGGGUUGAAAACCGCUUUCGCCUGUGACGAAGCGUGAGUGACGGUAAUGGGUAAAGAAGCACCGGCUAACUACGUG
rnacentral:rRNA from 1 species